rnacentral:rRNA from 1 species
AUUGAACGCUGGCGGCAUGCAGUACACAUGCAAGUCGAACGGCAGCACGGGAGCUUGCUCCUGGUGGCGAGUGGCGAACGGGUGAGUAAUACAUCGGAACGUACCCAGGAGUGGGGGAUAACGUAGCGAAAGUUACGCUAAUACCGCAUAUUCUGUGAGCAGGAAAGCGGGGGAUCGCAAGACCUCGCGCUCUUGGAGCGGCCGAUGUCGGAUUAGCUAGUUGGUGAGGUAAAAGCUCACCAAGGCGACGAUCCGUAGCAGGUCUGAGAGGAUGAUCUGCCACACUGGGACUGAGACACGGCCCAGACUCCUACGGGAGGCAGCAGUGGGGAAUUUUGGACAAUGGGGGCAACCCUGAUCCAGCCAUGCCGCGUGAGUGAAGAAGGCCUUCGGGUUGUAAAGCUCUUUCGGCGGGGAAGAAAUGGCAACGGCUAAUAUCCGUUGUUGAUGACGGUACCCGCAUAAGAAGCACCGGCUAACUACGUGCCAGCAGCCGCGGUAAUACGUAGGGUGCGAGCGUUAAUCGGAAUUACUGGGCGUAAAGCGUGCGCAGGCGGUUUCGUAAGACAGACGUGAAAUCCCCGGGCUCAACCUGGGAACUGCGUUUGUGACUGCGAGGCUAGAGUACGGCAGAGGGGGGUAGAAUUCCACGUGUAGCAGUGAAAUGCGUAGAGAUGUGGAGGAAUACCGAUGG